AGGGCGCACGGUGGAUGCCUUGGCACUAGAAGCCGAUGAAGGACGUGACUAACAACGAAAUGCUUUGGGGAGCUGUAAGUGAGCAAUGAUCCAGAGAUGUCCGAAUGGGGGAACCCGGCAGGUAAUGCCUGUCACUCAUUACUGUUAAGGUAAUGUAGAGGAAGACGCAGUGAACUGAAACAUCUAAGUAGCUGCAGGAAGAGAAAGCAAAAGCGAUUGCCUUAGUAGCGGCGAGCGAAACGGCAAGAGGGCAAACCGAAGAGUUUACUCUUCGGGGUUGUAGGACUGCAACGUGGACUUAAAGAUUAUAGAAGAACUACCUGGGAAGGUAGGCCAAAGAGAGUAAUAGCCUCGUAUUCGAAAUAGUCUUUAUACCUAGCAGUAUCCUGAGUACGGCGAGACACGAGAAAUCUCGUCGGAAUCUGGGAGGACCAUCUCCCAACCCUAAAUACUCUCUAGUGACCGAUAGUGAACCAGUACCGUGAGGGAAAGGUGAAAAGCACCCCGGGAGGGGAGUGAAAUAGAACCUGAAACCGUGUGCCUACAACAAGUUCGAGCCCGUUAAUGGGUGAGAGCGUGCCUUUUGUAGAAUGAACCGGCGAGUUACGAUAUGAUGCGAGGUUAAGUUGAAGAGACGGAGCCGUAGGGAAACCGAGUCUUAAUAGGGCGCAUUAGUAUCAUGUCGUAGACCCGAAACCAUGUGACCUACCCAUGAGCAGGUUGAAGGUGAGGUAAAACUCACUGGAGGACCGAACCAGGGCACGUUGAAAAGUGCUUGGAUGACUUGUGGGUAGCGGAGAAAUUCCAAACGAACUUGGAGAUAGCUGGUUCUCUCCGAAAUAGCUUUAGGGCUAGCGUCGAUGUUAAGUCUCUUGGAGGUAGAGCACUGUUUGGGUGAGGGGUCCAUCCCGGAUUACCAAUCUCAGAUAAACUCCGAAUGCCAAUGAGAUAUAAUCGGCAGUCAGACUGCGAGUGCUAAGAUCCGUAGUCGAAAGGGAAACAGCCCAGACCACCAGCUAAGGUCCCAAAAUAAUUGUUAAGUGGAAAAGGAUGUGGGGUUGCACAGACAACUAGGAUGUUAGCUUAGAAGCAGCUAUUCAUUCAAAGAGUGCGUAAUAGCUCACUAGUCGAGUGACCCUGCGCCGAAAAUGUACCGGGGCUAAAACAUAUUACCGAAGCUGUGGAUACCUUUAUAGGUAUGGUAGGAGAGCGUUCUAUGUGCGAAGAAGGUGUACCGUGAGGAGUGCUGGAGCGCAUAGAAGUGAGAAUGCCGGUAUGAGUAGCGAAAGACAGGUGAGAAUCCUGUCCACCGUAAGACUAAGGUUUCCAGGGGAAGGCUCGUCCGCCCUGGGUUAGUCGGGACCUAAGGAGAGACCGAAAGGUGUAUCCGAUGGACAACAGGUUGAUAUUCCUGUACUAGAGUAUAUAGUGAUGGAGGGACGCAGUAGGCUAACUAAACCAGACGAUUGGAAGUGUCUGGCCAAGCAGUGAGGUGUGAUAUGAGUCAAAUGCUUAUAUCUCUAACAUUGAGCUGUGAUGGGGAGCGAAGUUUAGUAGCGAAGUUAGUGAUGUCACACUGCCGAGAAAAGCUUCUAGCGUUAAUUAUACUCUACCCGUACCGCAAACCGACACAGGUAGUCGAGGCGAGUAGCCUCAGGUGAGCGAGAGAACUCUCGUUAAGGAACUCGGCAAAAUGGCCCCGUAACUUCGGGAGAAGGGGCGCUGACUGAUGGUCAGCCGCAGUGAAUAGGCCCAAGCAACUGUUUAUCAAAAACACAGCUCUCUGCUAAAUCGUAAGAUGAUGUAUAGGGGGUGACGCCUGCCCGGUGCUGGAAGGUUAAGAGGAGUGCUUAGCGUAAGCGAAGGUAUGAAUUGAAGCCCCAGUAAACGGCGGCCGUAACUAUAACGGUCCUAAGGUAGCGAAAUUCCUUGUCGGGUAAGUUCCGACCCGCACGAAAGGCGUAACGAUUUGGGCACUGUCUCAACGAGAGACUCGGUGAAAUCAUAGUACCUGUGAAGAUGCAGGUUACCCGCGACAGGACGGAAAGACCCCGUGGAGCUUUACUGUAGCCUGAUAUUGAAAUUCGGCACAGCUUGUACAGGAUAGGUAGGAGCCUUUGAAACGUGAGCGCUAGCUUACGUGGAGGCGUUGGUGGGAUACUACCCUAGCUGUGUUGGCUUUCUAACCCGCACCACUUAUCGUGGUGGGAGACAGUGUCAGGCGGGCAGUUUGACUGGGGCGGUCGCCUCCUAAAAGGUAACGGAGGCGCUCAAAGGUUCCCUCAGAAUGGUUGGAAAUCAUUCAUAGAGUGUAAAGGCAUAAGGGAGCUUGACUGCGAGACCUACAAGUCGAGCAGGGUCGAAAGACGGACUUAGUGAUCCGGUGGUUCCGCAUGGAAGGGCCAUCGCUCAACGGAUAAAAGCUACCCCGGGGAUAACAGGCUUAUCUCCCCCAAGAGUUCACAUCGACGGGGAGGUUUGGCACCUCGAUGUCGGCUCAUCGCAUCCUGGGGCUGUAGUCGGUCCCAAGGGUUGGGCUGUUCGCCCAUUAAAGCGGUACGCGAGCUGGGUUCAGAACGUCGUGAGACAGUUCGGUCCCUAUCUGUUGUGGGCGUUGGAAAUUUGAGGAGAGCUGCCCCUAGUACGAGAGGACCAGGGUGGACGUUCCUACGGUGCACCAGUUGUCACGCCAGUGGCAUAGCUGGAUAGCUGAGAACGGACCGGAUAAACGCUGAAGGCAUCUAAGCGUGAAACCGACUCCAAGAUUAGAUUUCCCAUCAUUUCAAAUGAAUAAGACCCCUUGA
rnacentral:rRNA from 1 species